GAUGAACGCUGGCGGCGUGCCUAAUACAUGCAAGUCGAGCGAACGGACGAGAAGCUUGCUUCUCUGAUGUUAGCGGCGGACGUGUGAGUAACACGUGGAUAACCUACCUAUAAGACUGGGAUAACUUCGGGAAACCGUAGCUAAUACCGGAUAAUAUUUUGAACCGCAUGGUUCAAAAGUGAAAGACGGUCUUGCUGUCACUUAUAGAUGGAUCCGCGCUGCAUUAGCUAGUUGGUAAGGUAACGGCUUUCCAAGGCAACGAUGCAUAGCCGACCUGAGAGGGUGAUCGGCCACACUGGAACUGAGACACGGUCCAGACUCCUACGGGAGGCAGCAGUAGGGAAUCUUCCGCAAUGGGCGAAAGCCUGACGGGGCAACGCCGCGUGAGUGAUGAAGGUCUUCGGAUCGUAAAACUCUGUUAUUAGGGAAGAACAUAUGUGUAAGUAACUGUGCACAUCUUGACGGUACCUAAUCAGAAAGCCACGGCUAACUACGUG
rnacentral:rRNA from 1 species